UAAUACAUGCAAGUUGAGCGAUGAAGAUUGGUGCUUGCACCAAUUUGAAGAGCAGCGAACGGGUGAGUAACGCGUGGGGAAUCUGCCUUUGAGCGGGGGACAACAUUUGGAAACGAAUGCUAAUACCGCAUAAUAACUUUAAACAUAAGUUUUAAGUUUGAAAGAUGCAAUUGCAUCACUCAAAGAUGAUCCCGCGUUGUAUUAGCUAGUUGGUGAGGUAAAGGCUCACCAAGGCGAUGAUACAUAGCCGACCUGAGAGGGUGAUCGGCCACAUUGGGACUGAGACACGGCCCAAACUCCUACGGGAGGCAGCAGUAGGGAAUCUUCGGCAAUGGACGAAAGUCUGACCGAGCAACGCCGCGUGAGUGAAGAAGGUUUUCGGAUCGUAAAACUCUGUUGGUAGAGAAGAACGUUGGUGAGAGUGGAAAGCUCAUCAAGUGACGGUAACUACCCAGAAAGGGACGGCUAACUACGUGCCAGCAGCCGCGGUAAUACGUAGGUCCCGAGCGUUGUCCGGAUUUAUUGGGCGUAAAGCGAGCGCAGGUGGUUUAUUAAGUCUGGUGUAAAAGGCAGUGGCUCAACCAUUGUAUGCAUUGGAAACUGGUAGACUUGAGUGCAGGAGAGGAGAGUGGAAUUCCAUGUGUAGCGGUGAAAUGCGUAGAUAUAUGGAGGAACACCGGUGGCGAAAGCGGCUCUCUGGCCUGUAACUGACACUGAGGCUCGAA
rnacentral:rRNA from 1 species